GUCGCUUUUUAUCAUAUAUACUGUUAGGAUCUUCCUUAAACUGCUCACGGUGAUUUCCGGGCUCAGUUAACCAUUAAAAUCGAAUUCAACAUCAAAACCAAAGUCACCAAGCCGCCGGCGCUACCCUCUCCUAUGGUUGCUUUCCUCUUGUGCUUUGUUGAUUCAAUCCACACACUUAGGAUGGAUACCACACAGGUAAGAGUCACAAAGGCUCAAGCAAUUGGAAUGGAGAAGAAAUCACGAAGAAGAAGAAGGCAGAAGAACACGGCAGAACACGGCAGUCUCUCUAUCUCAUGGCUUCAAUAUGGACGGGACUAAGAGUCAAGGGAAAACACCAAUAUAUAUAUUAAGUCAAGUGGCCAACAUAAGGUAAGUAAGGAUAUGGUAAGUAGACUCGACUAGGGUUAACUUCCAAUGGAAAGAAUCAACAAGCCACAAAGAGUAUUAGCCAUCCAAUAGGUAAAGCAACGUUUGGUCGGUUCAUCCAUUAUUCGAUGUUGAAUUAUCGUUCAGUCAUUCAUGUCGACUGAUAAAAUUGGUUCUCAUCAUCGCCCGGGAGGUCGUUUGACAACAUAAUGUCUAACAACCUCCACCUUGGUGUCAAAGGACCUGCAAAGAAAAACGUUUUUCCAUUAGUGACACCUCUAAUAGAAAAAUCGAUAAAAUUGAAAUCAUUUACCUGUACCGAUGUUUAGAAACUCUUUGCAACUUCUAAACUUUAUCAGUGGCAGCACUUUCGUGCCCAUAUCUGAAGGGUUAUACUAUGUGUGAAUCUUUUCAAGUCUUACUACUUCUUGUGAUAUUAUAUCCUUAAUGAAGUGUAACCUAACACCGAUAUGUUUAGUGCGUUCGUGAAAAACAGGAUUCUUACACAACUAUAUGGAUGACUGACUAUCAAAAUACACAACCACAUACUCAUUCAAGACACUCAGUUCAUGAAGUAGACCUCUAAGCCAUAGAGCCUCUUUAAUUGCUUCAGUGGUGGCAAUAUAUUCUGACUCUGUAGUGGAUAGUGCAACUAUGUGUUGUAACUGUGAUUUCCAACUAACACACGAAUUUGAUAAGGUGAAUACAUAAGAGGAAGUUGAUUUCCUACCAUCCCUAUCUCCUGCAUAGUCAGCAUCUACAAAACCCUUUAAUUUCACGCCUUCUUUAUUAGCACUAAAUUUUAGACCUACGUCACUUGUACCCUUCAAAUAUCUUAAAAGCCACUUUAAUGCUUCCCAAUGUUCAGGACCUGGAUUAGACAUGUACCUACUGAGAGUACUAAUAGCG
rnacentral:lncRNA from 1 species